AACGAACGCUGGCGGCAUGCCUAACACAUGCAAGUCGAACGAGACCUUCGGGUCUAGUGGCGCACGGGUGCGUAACGCGUGGGAACCUGCCCUUAGGUUCGGAAUAACUCCCCGAAAGGGGUGCUAAUACCGGAUAAUGUCUUCGGACCAAAGAUUUAUCGCCUUUGGAUGGGCCCGCGUUGGAUUAGCUAGUUGGUAGGGUAAAAGCCUACCAAGGCGACGAUCCAUAGCUGGUCUGAGAGGAUGAUCAGCCACACUGGGACUGAGACACGGCCCAGACUCCUACGGGAAGCAGCAGUGGGGAAUAUUGGACAAUGGGCGAAAGCCUGAUCCAGCACUGCCGCGUGAGUGAUGAAGGCCGUAGGGUUGUAAAGCUCUUUUACCCGGGAUGAUAAUGACAGUACCGGGAGAAUAAGCUCCGGCUAACUCCGUG
rnacentral:rRNA from 1 species